rnacentral:rRNA from 1 species
GACGAACGCUGGCGGCGUGCUUAACACAUGCAAGUCGAACGGAAAGGCCCUGCUUUUGUGGGGUGCUCGAGUGGCGAACGGGUGAGUAACACGUGAGUAACCUGCCCUUGACUUUGGGAUAACUUCAGGAAACUGGGGCUAAUACCGGAUAGGAGCUCCUGCUGCAUGGUGGGGGUUGGAAAGUUUCGGCGGUUGGGGAUGGACUCGCGGCUUAUCAGCUUGUUGGUGGGGUAGUGGCUUACCAAGGCUUUGACGGGUAGCCGGCCUGAGAGGGUGACCGGCAAAAUUGGGACUGAGUUACGGCCAGGAUUCUUACGGGAGGAAGAGGUGGGGAAUAUGGAACAAUGGGCGGAAGCCUGAGGAAGAAAGGCGGGGUGCGGAAUGCCGGCUUUCGGGUUGUAACCGGCUUUGGCCUGGGACGAAGCGUGGGUGAGGGAAAUGGGUAAAGAAGAACCGGUUAACUACGU